rnacentral:rRNA from 1 species
GACGAACGCUGGCGGCGGGCCUAAUACAUGCAAGUAGAACGGAGUUGGGAACGGUAGAGUAAGGCGUAGGUAACUGCCGGGGAGCGGGGGAUAACUAUUGGAAACGAUAGCGAAUACCGCAGACUACCAGAUGGACCUGCGUUGUAUUAGCUCGUUGGUGAGGUAACGGCUCACCAAGGCAACGAUACAUAGCCGACCUGAGGGGGUGACCGGCCACACUGGGACUGAGACCAGGCCCAGACUCCUACGGGAGGCAGCAGUAGGGAAUCUUCGGCCAUGGGGGGAACCCUGACCGAGCCACGCCGCGUGAGUGAAGAAGGUUUUCGGAUCGUAAAGCUCUGUUGUUAAGGAAGCGGUACUUAACCAGAAAGGGCCGGCUAACUACGUGCCAGCAGCCGCGGUAAUAC